rnacentral:lncRNA from 1 species
CCGUGCUCAUGUGGGAACGGUUACAGAGGGUAGUCAAACAAGCUCUGGCCAAUAAGGUCAUUCUGUGGGGAUGACAGAUGAAUGGACAGUCAGCACGGCUGAGAUACACAAGAUGCAGGAGUAGCCCCCGUCUGUACAGCCCUGGCCUCUACUCUGCCUUCUGAACCCUGGCCAUCUCAAGCAUUUAUGGAAUGCUGCACACACAUCCAGACUUUUGCUGGGUAGACACCUGGAAGAAACAUUGGUCCAACACCCCUAAAUGCCCAGCAGACAUUAAAAGAAAAAGCUACAGAGAA